CACCACAACAUAAUGAAACAUUUCUUGAAUGUUAUAGCGUAAUUUCUAGAAAAUUCGUAACAACAUCGAGAAAAGCAACAAAUCAAAGAAACCAAGAUGCUUGAUGAUUGGAGACAAAAGUAUAGUCUGGAAACAGUGGAAAGGUGCCUUCCAUUGGGAUCUGUGAAUCCCAUUUUUUUCUUCCAUUACAUGAGCAGCUGGAUCCUGCUUCAAGAAUGAGAAAUCACUUGGCAGUAGAUGUACUUGACAAAAAAAUGCUUAUCUUGAUGCGGUUAAUCUUUGGCAGAGUUAUCGAGAUCACAUCAUGGCAUCAAUGGAAGACCAAGAGCUCAACAAUGGAACCCCCUUGGACUGUGCACUUCAACUAUUUCAACACACUGUAGAAAUUGUGGACUUGUUCAACUCUAAAUGUCCACUAACAAACAUCAAUGACAUCAGGCUGAGAACGUUGAACCGUUUUUCUUUUUUCAUGUUGGAUUGGAGAGAGAACUGAGUACAGAUGACAAUAGCCCAUUAUUUUCUGAAUUACCCUUGGCCUCAUUUUCAAAACGAGUCCUGGUGCUCAUCCUUUCAUAUGAUAGUAAGUUUUCAU
rnacentral:misc_RNA from 1 species